rnacentral:lncRNA from 1 species
CCAUUAUUUUUUUAGUUGAUUUGAGGGCAGAGUGGGAUCUCAUGGAAAAAGAGUGGGCACCAAUCUUGGACAUGAAUGAAAUCUACAGACUCUGAAAACGGGCCCUUCACAGAGUAUUUGCAGUUGUCUGUCUUUCUGUUUGCUGUUCCAAUCUCUAUUUUUUUCUGAUUUAUUUUAUUUUAUGUUUUUCUUUCAUAUAUGUCUUGAUUGCUGCUGUGACUGCAGUUUUUUCUAAGUGUGGAUACUUACAACAGCCUGUUGAAAGUCAGCGAAGAAAUAACUGCUUCUCAGAUUUGUCUUGUCCUUCAAUAUGUAUCUAAAACAGGAAGUAUUCAUGAAUUGACAUGGGUCAACAUACUUCUCAUUACCAGGCAAAAGCAGCUCUGGAGUGACCCCUCCUGUACCCCACAUAGCCCUGGAGUGGAUGGAGCUUUUAUCAUGUUGGAGAAGUACACUAUUUUAAAUGGGGAGAAUUCCAGUGUUGUCUCCAAGGUGAAGUCAUGAUCUUGUAUAAUAAAGCACAUAAAACUUGAUAGUUACA